UACGUAGGGGGCAAGCGUUAUCCGGAAUUAUUGGGCGUAAAGAGUACGUAGGUGGUUUUGUAAGCGCGGGGUGAAAGGCAGUGGCUUAACCAUUGUAAGCCUUGCGAACUGCAAGACUUGAGUGCAGGAGAGGAAAGCGGAAUUCCUAGUGUAGCGGUGAAAUGCUUAGAUAUUAGGAGGAACACCAGUGGCGAAGGCGGCUUUCUGGACUGUAACUGACACUGAGGUACGAAAGCGUGGGGAGCAAACAGG
rnacentral:rRNA from 1 species